rnacentral:rRNA from 1 species
ACUCCUACGGGAGGCAGCAGUGGGAAUAUUGCACAAUGGGGAACCGAGCUGNAGCCAUGCCGCGUGUGUGAAGAAGGCCUUCGGGUUGUAAAGCACUUUCAGUAGGGAGGAAGGUAGUGUAGUUAACACCUGCAUUAUUUGACGUUACCUACAGAAGAAGCACCGGCUAACUCCGUGCCAGCAGCCGCGGUAAUACGGAGGGUGCGAGCGUUAAUCGGAAUUACUGGGCGUAAAGCGCAUGCAGGCGGCCUGUUAAGUCAGAUGUG